rnacentral:rRNA from 1 species
GAACGCUAGCGACAGGCUUAACACAUGCAAGUCGAGGGGCAGCGGGAUGUAGCAAUACAUUGCCGGCGACCGGCGCACGGGUGAGUAACGCGUAUGUAACCUACCUUAUACAGGGGGAUAGCCCAUGGAAACGUGGAUUAAUAUCCCAUAGUACUGAGAAACCGCAUGGUUUUUCAGUUAAAGCUUCGGUGGUAUAAGAUGGACAUGCGUCCUAUUACGUAGUUGGUCGGGUAACGGCCUACCAAGCCAAUGAUAGGUAGGGGUUCUGAGAGGAAGGUCCCCCACACUGGUACUGAGACACGGACCAGACUCCUACCGGAGGCAGCCGUGAGGAAUAUUGGUCAAUGGGCGGAACCCCGAACCAGCCCACUCCCCUGAACGACGACUGCCCCUAUGGGUUGUCAAACUUCUUUUGUCCUGGGAGAAUAAGGAUUACGCGUACUCCGAUGACUGCACUUUCAGAAUAACCCUCCGCUACCUCCCUCGCCGCCGCCCGCGGUAAUACGGAGGAUGCGAGCGUUAUCCGGAUUUAUGGGUUUAAAAGGGUGCGUAGGCGGGUGUGUAAGUUAGUGGUCAAAUGUCAUGCUUCAACCUUGCUUUGCCAUUAAAACUGCACGACUCGAGUACAGACGAGGUAGGCGGAAUAAGUUAAGUAGCGGUGAAAUGCAUAGAUAUAACUUAGAACUCCGAUAGCGAAGGCAGCUUACCAGACUGUAACUGACGCUGAUGCACGAGAGCAUGGGUAGCGAACAGGAUUAGAUACCCUGGUAGUCCAUGCCGUAAACGAUGCUCACUGGCUCUGUGCGACACAUUGUACGGGGUCAAGCGAAAGUAUUAAGUGAGCCACCUGGGGAGUACGUCGGCAACGAUGAAACUCAAAGGAAUUGACGGGGGCCCGCACAAGCGGAGGAACAUGUGGUUUAAUUCGAUGAUACGCGAGGAACCUUACCUAGGUUUAAAUGUAGUCUGCAUGACGUAGAAAUAUGUCUUUCCUUCGGGACCGAUUACAAGGUGCUGCAUGGUUGUCGUCAGCUCGUGCCGUGAGGUGUCGGGUUAAGUCCCAUAACGAGCGCAACCCCUAUCUUUAGUUGCCAUCAGGUAGAGCUGGGCACUCUAAAGAGACUGCCACCGUAAGGUGAGAGGAAGGCGGGGAUGACGUCAAAUCAGCACGGCCCUUACACCUAGGGCUACACACGUGUUACAAUGGCCGGUACAGAGGGCAGCUACUUGGUGACAAGAUGCGAAUCUCGAAAGCCGGUCGUAGUUCGGAUUGGAGUCUGUAACCCGACUCCAUGAAGUUGGAUUCGCUAGUAAUCGCGCAUCAGCCAUGGCGCGGUGAAUACGUUCCCGGGCCUUGUACACACCGCCCGUCAAGCCAUGGAAGCCGGGGGUGCCUGAAGUCCGUAACCGCAAGGAUCGGCCUAGGGCAAAACUGGUAACUGGGGCUA